rnacentral:rRNA from 1 species
GAGGGGGGGGGGCCUAAUACAUGCAAGUCGAGCGGACAGAUGGGAGCUUGCUCCCUGAUGUUAGCGGCGGACGGGUGAGUAACACGUGGGUAACCUGCCUGUAAGACUGGGAUAACUCCGGGAAACCGGGGCUAAUACCGGAUGGUUGUUUGAACCGCAUGGUUCAAACAUAAAAGGUGGCUUCGGCUACCACUUACAGAUGGACCCGCGGCGCAUUAGCUAGUUGGUGAGGUAACGGCUCACCAAGGCAACGAUGCGUAGCCGACCUGAGAGGGUGAUCGGCCACACUGGGACUGAGACACGGCCCAGACUCCUACGGGAGGCAGCAGUAGGGAAUCUUCCGCAAUGGACGAAAGUCUGACGGAGCAACGCCGCGUGAGUGAUGAAGGUUUUCGGAUCGUAAAGCUCUGUUGUUAGGGAAGAACAAGUACCGUUCGAAUAGGGCGGUACCUUGACGGUACCUAACCAGAAAGCCACGGCUAACUACGUGCCAGCAGCCGCGGUAAUACGUAGGUGGCAAGCGUUGUCCGGAAUUAUUGGGCGUAAAGGGCUCGCAGGCGGUUUCUUAAGUCUGAUGUGAAAGCCCCCGGCUCAACCGGGGAGGGUCAUUGGAAACUGGGGAACUUGAGUGCAGAAGAGGAGAGUGGAAUUCCACGUGUAGCGGUGAAAUGCGUAGAGAUGUGGAGGAACACCAGUGGCGAAGGCGACUCUCUGGUCUGUAACUGACGCUGAGGAGCGAAAGCGUGGGGAGCGAACAGGAUUAGAUACCCUGGUAGUCCACGCCGUAAACGAUGAGUGCU